CUUUCAUGAAUAGUUUUUCUCAACGACUCGCAUACUAAUGAUAUUAGCAAAUUAUUUAAAAUAAUAACCAUGAUAUACAACUUAUAUAAAUUAUUAUGUUAUAUUUGUACAUUUUAGCUAAACUAUUUGACAUCUAAUAUAAUUGUAAGUUCAUAAGCGUAGAUAUAUUUUCUAGAUAUGAGCUUAGCGGUAGGUAAUUUUGCUUAUCUAUUACCGUAAUAAGCUUGAUGACUGAGGUAGACAUCUGAUUUAUAUUUAAUCUAACUGUUUCUCUAUGUGAAUGGAUACAUAUAUUAACUCAGGUAGCACUACAACUAGCAAUGUAUGGAUGAAUUGAAGGAAGUAAAAGAAGGCAGACAAUCUUAUAGAAACUCUGCAUAUUGAAACCGCCAUGAUUGGCAAAGAAGUUGGAUGCAUCUUUGCAUUGGUGUGUUCUUAUCACCAAGCAGUAAUGUGAAGCAAGUUCAUUUGUUGACUAAGAACGGAUCAACACAAAUUAGUGAAGAUUUUGUUCACAAGAGAUGCAGGAUGGAGAGGUGGUAGAUUUCAAUAUGGCUUUGAUACUAUUUUUUCCACUUACAAUAUUUUGUAUGGAACAAGAAAAAACAAUGUAUGUGGUUACUAUUGUAAUUCAAGAAUUUAUUUCUAAAUAAUAAAUAUAUUUGUU
rnacentral:lncRNA from 7 species